rnacentral:rRNA from 1 species
AUUGAACGCUGGCGGCAUGCUUUACACAUGCAAGUCGAACGGUAACAGGCCGCAAGGUGCUGACGAGUGGCGAACGGGUGAGUAAUGCAUCGGAACGUGCCCAGUCGUGGGGGAUAACGCAGCGAAAGCUGUGCUAAUACCGCAUACGAUCUAUGGAUGAAAGCGGGGAACCGUAAGGCCUCGCGCGAUUGGAGCGGCCGAUGUCAGAUUAGGUAGUUGGUGGGGUAAAGGCCCACCAAGCCGACGAUCUGUAGCUGGUCUGAGAGGACGACCAGCCACACUGGGACUGAGACACGGCCCAGACUCCUACGGGAGGCAGCAGUGGGGAAUUUUGGACAAUGGGCGCAAGCCUGAUCCAGCAAUGCCGCGUGCAGGAAGAAGGCCUUCGGGUUGUAAACUGCUUUUGUACGGAACGAAACGGUCUGGGUUAAUACCCUGGGCUAAUGACGGUACCGUAAGAAUAAGCACCGGCUAACUACGUGCCAGCCGCCGCGGUAACAC